UGAACGCUAGCGGCAGGCUAACACAUGCAAGUCGAGGGGCAGCGCGGGUAGCAAUAUCGUGGCGGCGACCGGCGAAAGGGUGAGUAACGCGUGAGCAACGUGCCCGUCUGAGGGGGAUAGUCAUUGGAAACGAUGCGUAAUACCCCGUAACAACAGUCACGCAUGUGGGUGUUUGAAAGAUUAUUGCAGACGGAUCGGCUCGCGUACCAUUAGCUAGUUGGCGGGUAACGGCCCACCAAGGCAACGAUGGUUAGGGGUUCUGAGAGGAAGGUCCCCCACAUUGGAACUGAGACACGGUCCAGACUCCUACGGGAGGCAGCAGUGAGGAAUAUUGGACAAUGGCCGGGAGGCUGAUCCAGCCAUGCCGCGUGCCGGGAAGACGGCCCUAUGGGUUGUAAACCGCUUUUGUCGGGGAGCAAUAAGUAGUACGCGUACUACGAUGAGAGUACCUGGCGAAUAAGCAUCGGCUAACUCCGUGCCAGCCGCAGC
rnacentral:rRNA from 1 species